CUACAGGGUUACAUGGCUACAGAGUUACAUGGCUACAGGGUUACAGGGUUACAGGGCUACAGGGCUACAUGACUACAGGGUUACAGGGCUACAGGGUUACAGGGGUACAGGGCUACAGGGUUACAGGGUUACAGGGUUACAUGGCUACAUGGCUACAGGGCUACAGGGUUACAGGGUUACAGGGCUACAGGUAUACAUGGCUACAGGGCUACAGGGUUACAGGGCUACAGGGUUACAGGGUUACAUGGCUACAGGGUUACAUGGUUACAGGGUUACAGGGCUACAUGGUUACAUGGCUACAGGGCUACAUGGUUACAGGGUUACAUGGCUACAGGGUUACAGGGCUACAGGGUUACAUGGCUACAGGGCUACAGGGCUACAGAUUUACAGGACUACAGGGUUACAGGGCUACAGGGCUACAGGGCUACAGGGUUACAGGGCUACAGGGUUACAGGGUUACCGGGCUACAGGGUUACAGGGCUACAGGUCUACAUGGCUACAGGGCUACAGGGCUACAGGGUUACAGGGCUACAGGG
ensembl:lncRNA